rnacentral:rRNA from 1 species
AUGGGACUCCACUCCGGCGCUCGACACCCUACAGGCCACCGUGUUCCCAGGCCGCGGGUCUGCAUCGGCGUGUCCGUCCACCACGCCGCCUGCCACGACACCUCUGCCACUCUCUUCGUCCAGACCUGGGCCGCCGCAUACCACCUCCAAGAUGCCCUCGACAGUGCCGAUCCUUCCCAGGCCGUGCUGCUGCCGCCGCCGCCCGUCCUCGACCGAUCCCUCGUUGCCGACCCCAACGACCUGCUCGGCAAGACACUCGUUGGGAUGAGCCGCCUUGCGUCUGCCUGCUGUGGAGCCGGUCGUGGGUGUUGA